AACGAACGCUGGCGGCGUACUUAACACAUGCAAGUCGGACGAGAAAGGAGACUUCGGUCUCUGAGUACAGUGGCGCACGGGUGCGUAACACGUAAGUAAUCUACCCCAAACCCUGGGAUAACCCUCCGAAAGGAGGGCUAAUACUGGAUAGGGUCCCCGAGGUGUAGGCUGCGGGGGGAAAACGGGCCUCUGUUUCAUGCUCGUGGUUCGGGAUGAGCUUGCGGCCCAUUAGCUAGUUGGUAAGGUAAUGGCUUACCAAGGCAACGAUGGGUAGCUGGUCUGAGAGUAUGAUCAGCCACACUGGCACUGAGACACGGGCCAGACUCCUACGGGAGGCAGCAGUGGGGAAUUUUGCGCAAUGGGCGAAAGCCUGACGCAGUAACGCCGCGUGGAGGAUGAAGGCCUUCGGGUUGUAAACUCCUGUCAGGAGGAACGACGGGGAAAGGGUGAUAAAUCCUUUCUUCCAGACGGUACCUUCAAAGGGAGCCCCGGCUAAUUC
rnacentral:rRNA from 1 species